rnacentral:rRNA from 1 species
GAGUUUGAUCGUGGCUCAGGACGAACGCUGGCGGCGUGCCUAAUACAUGCAAGUAGAACGCUGAAGGGAGAGCUUGCUCUUCUGGAUGAGUUGCGAACGGGUGAGUAACGCGUAGGUAACCUGCCUGGUAGCGGGGGAUAACUAUUGGAAACGAUAGCUAAUACCGCAUAACAUUGACUAUUGCAUGAUAGUCAAUUGAAAGGUGCAAAUGCACCACUACCAGAUGGACCUGCGUUGUAUUAGCUAGUUGGUGGGGUAACGGCUCACCAAGGCGACGAUACAUAGCCGACCUGAGAGGGUGAUCGGCCACACUGGGACUGAGGCACGGCCCAGACUCCUACGGGAGGCAGCAGUAGGGAAUCUUCGGCAAUGGACGGAAGUCUGACCGAGCAACGCCGCGUGAGUGAAGAAGGUUUUCGGAUCGUAAAGCUCUGUUGUAAGAGAAGAACGAGUGUGAGAGUGGAAAGUUCACACUGUGACGGUAUCUUACCAGAAAGGGACGGCUAACU